GCAUAUAUCUUUGCGACCUUUGCGACCGAAAUAAAUUAAUUUUAGCAACGUCGCUUAUAACCUACUGUCAAUUUGAACCACUAAUUCAAAGGGAAAUACUUAUGGAGGGUUUAAAGCGGUGAUUCAAAUUUGAAUCGGCAUUAAGCAGUUCAAAUUUAUUAAAUUUGUUUCCUAAAAUUAUAGACAUUUAAUAUGUUAAACUAUGAAUGCUGCGGGAUAAAAUUGUAAAAGCUGUAUACCAUCAGAUUACUAUAGAUACAGAGAAUAUAAAAUUUAAGUUUCAGACAAGUGUUAAGUGGCUUUCACGAGGUUAAUUGGAUUGUUUAAUUUUAUCAAAAAAUGUCAAUAAACAUUCACAACGACACCUGAAACCUGAACAAUUUUCUAAAUGGUGUCAUGCUGUUGGGAAUGAAAUAUAAAUCAACCAUUUUCUUUUCAAUCUGUGCAAAGAAGAAAUCCGCAAGUCAUUCUCAAAAAAUUAAUUGUCUGCAAUUUUUCGAUUUUUAGGAAAUAAGAAGUUUGUAAACAUCAUCAUGGAUAAUUUAAAGUCAUAGGUUAAAAUCGUCGACCGGACCAUAUAAGCUAGGAACUGUAAUUAGGGCUGGGCAAAGUUAAGUUAGCUAAACAGAGAUUUUCGAAAUUUGUAAAUUGUUAUUGAAACGGAUUAGCCGUUAACGAUUUGACAAACCUUGAAUUUUGCACAACUCCUGAAUUGCUAUUGCCAAUAUUUGCUAAAAAACCACUAAUGACAAAAUAUCUUUCAUUAACGCCAUUAAUAAAGUUGAGAUCGCUAACUAACUUUAUAAAAAGGAAAAUACAGUUAACAAAACAAAUAUCAUGUACAAUUACCUUUAAAACUUAAGGCUACCUAAUUUUUCUUUUAACGGUUGAAACUAAGCGUUAACAAAACGGCGAGAAAAAGUUGGAAUGUGCCCAGUCCUAACUGUUAGACCAUUGAAAAACAACGCUGGCCCCCUUUAGGCUGUUGAGCAGUAAUGCCCUAGAAAAGUGGAAUGGUAUGACGCGGGUCUAUAAAAACAGUAAUGUGUUUUACAUUAUCAUUCUUUUCGUGCUUCCAUAUAAAAUAGAUUGUCAAUGUUUUGUAGCCCCUCCUUUGCCUCCAGGUUAUCCUACUGACUCAUCUGGACUUAGGCCUCAGUAUAAACAGACAUCUGGAGGAAUACCUAUAGAUGGAAGUGUACUGUACAGCUGUCCAGCUGGUCGAACUGUACCUGCUAAUAUAGAUCUAGAAACUGUUUAUGUAGCAACUUAUAGGUUAGUACUAUACACCA